GACAGAGGAUGCAAACGUUGCUCGGAAUUACUGGGCGUAAAGCGCGUGUAGGCGGCUUGGUAAGUCGGAUGUGAAAUCCCGGGGCUCAACCCCGGAAGCGCACUCGAUACUGCCGAACUAGGGUCCUGAAGAGGAGAGCGGAAUUCCCGGUGUAGAGGUGAAAUUCGUAGAUAUUCGGAAGAACACCAGUGGCGAAGGCGACACACUGGCUCAUCACUGACGCUGAGGCGCGAAAGCGUGGGGAGCAAACAGG
rnacentral:rRNA from 1 species